GACAUACUCCCUCCGUCCGGAAAUACAUGUCGCAUAAAUGGAUGAAAAUGGAUGUAUCUACAACUAAAAUACGUCUAGAUACAUCCAUUUUGCUGACAAGUAUUUCCGGACGGAGGGAGUACUAC
rfam:Triticum aestivum genome assembly, contig: Triticum_aestivum_CS42_TGACv1_scaffold_499552_6BL